rnacentral:rRNA from 1 species
UUAAGCGACUAAGCGUACACGGUGGAUGCCCUGGCAGUCAGAGGCGAUGAAGGACGUGCUAAUCUGCGAUAAGCGUCGGUAAGGUGAUAUGAACCGUUAUAACCGGCGAUUUCCGAAUGGGGAAACCCAGUGUGUUUCGACACACUAUCAUUAACUGAAUCCAUAGGUUAAUGAGGCGAACCGGGGGAACUGAAACAUCUAAGUACCCCGAGGAAAAGAAAUCAACCGAGAUUCCCCCAGUAGCGGCGAGCGAACGGGGAGCAGCCCAGAGCCUGAAUCAGUGUGUGUGUUAGUGGAAGCGUCUGGAAAGGCGCGCGAUACAGGGUGACAGCCCCGUACACAAAAAUGCACAUGCUGUGAGCUCGAUGAGUAGGGCGGGACACGUGGUAUCCUGUCUGAAUAUGGGGGGACCAUCCUCCAAGGCUAAAUACUCCUGACUGACCGAUAGUGAACCAGUACCGUGAGGGAAAGGCGAAAAGAACCCCGGCGAGGGGAGUGAAAAAGAACCUGAAACCGUGUACGUACAAGCAGUGGGAGCACGCUUAGGCGUGUGACUGCGUACCUUUUGUAUAAUGGGUCAGCGACUUAUAUUCUGUAGCAAGGUUAACCGAAUAGGGGAGCCGAAGGGAAACCGAGUCUUAACUGGGCGUUAAGUUGCAGGGUAUAGACCCGAAACCCGGUGAUCUAGCCAUGGGCAGGUUGAAGGUUGGGUAACACUAACUGGAGGACCGAACCGACUAAUGUUGAAAAAUUAGCGGAUGACUUGUGGCUGGGGGUGAAAGGCCAAUCAAACCGGGAGAUAGCUGGUUCUCCCCGAAAGCUAUUUAGGUAGCGCCUCGUGAAUUCAUCUCCGGGGGUAGAGCACUGUUUCGGCAAGGGGGUCAUCCCGACUUACCAACCCGAUGCAAACUGCGAAUACCGGAGAAUGUUAUCACGGGAGACACACGGCGGGUGCUAACGUCCGUCGUGAAGAGGGAAACAACCCAGACCGCCAGCUAAGGUCCCAAAGUCAUGGUUAAGUGGGAAACGAUGUGGGAAGGCCCAGACAGCCAGGAUGUUGGCUUAGAAGCAGCCAUCAUUUAAAGAAAGCGUAAUAGCUCACUGGUCGAGUCGGCCUGCGCGGAAGAUGUAACGGGGCUAAACCAUGCACCGAAGCUGCGGCAGCGACGCUGAUGCGUUGUUGGGUAGGGGAGCGUUCUGUAAGCCUGCGAAGGUGUGCUGUGAGGCAUGCUGGAGGUAUCAGAAGUGCGAAUGCUGACAUAAGUAACGAUAAAGCGGGUGAAAAGCCCGCUCGCCGGAAGACCAAGGGUUCCUGUCCAACGUUAAUCGGGGCAGGGUGAGUCGACCCCUAAGGCGAGGCCGAAAGGCGUAGUCGAUGGGAAACAGGUUAAUAUUCCUGUACUUGGUGUUACUGCGAAGGGGGGACGGAGAAGGCUAUGUUGGCCGGGCGACGGUUGUCCCGGUUUAAGCGUGUAGGCUGGUUUUCCAGGCAAAUCCGGAAAAUCAAGGCUGAGGCGUGAUGACGAGGCACUACGGUGCUGAAGCAACAAAUGCCCUGCUUCCAGGAAAAGCCUCUAAGCAUCAGGUAACAUCAAAUCGUACCCCAAACCGACACAGGUGGUCAGGUAGAGAAUACCAAGGCGCUUGAGAGAACUCGGGUGAAGGAACUAGGCAAAAUGGUGCCGUAACUUCGGGAGAAGGCACGCUGAUAUGUAGGUGAAGUCCCUCGCGGAUGGAGCUGAAAUCAGUCGAAGAUACCAGCUGGCUGCAACUGUUUAUUAAAAACACAGCACUGUGCAAACACGAAAGUGGACGUAUACGGUGUGACGCCUGCCCGGUGCCGGAAGGUUAAUUGAUGGGGUCAGCGCAAGCGAAGCUCUUGAUCGAAGCCCCGGUAAACGGCGGCCGUAACUAUAACGGUCCUAAGGUAGCGAAAUUCCUUGUCGGGUAAGUUCCGACCUGCACGAAUGGCGUAAUGAUGGCCAGGCUGUCUCCACCCGAGACUCAGUGAAAUUGAACUCGCUGUGAAGAUGCAGUGUACCCGCGGCAAGACGGAAAGACCCCGUGAACCUUUACUAUAGCUUGACACUGAACAUUGAGCCUUGAUGUGUAGGAUAGGUGGGAGGCUUUGAAGUGUGGACGCCAGUCUGCAUGGAGCCGACCUUGAAAUACCACCCUUUAAUGUUUGAUGUUCUAACGUUGACCCGUGAUCCGGGUUGCGGACAGUGUCUGGUGGGUAGUUUGACUGGGGCGGUCUCCUCCUAAAGAGUAACGGAGGAGCACGAAGGUUGGCUAAUCCUGGUCGGACAUCAGGAGGUUAGUGCAAUGGCAUAAGCCAGCUUGACUGCGAGCGUGACGGCGCGAGCAGGUGCGAAAGCAGGUCAUAGUGAUCCGGUGGUUCUGAAUGGAAGGGCCAUCGCUCAACGGAUAAAAGGUACUCCGGGGAUAACAGGCUGAUACCGCCCAAGAGUUCAUAUCGACGGCGGUGUUUGGCACCUCGAUGUCGGCUCAUCACAUCCUGGGGCUGAAGUAGGUCCCAAGGGUAUGGCUGUUCGCCAUUUAAAGUGGUACGCGAGCUGGGUUUAGAACGUCGUGAGACAGUUCGGUCCCUAUCUGCCGUGGGCGCUGGAGAACUGAGGGGGGCUGCUCCUAGUACGAGAGGACCGGAGUGGACGCAUCACUGGUGUUCGGGUUGUCAUGCCAAUGGCACUGCCCGGUAGCUAAAUGCGGAAGAGAUAAGUGCUGAAAGCAUCUAAGCACGAAACUUGCCCCGAGAUGAGUUCUCCCUGACUCCUUGAGAGUCCUGAAGGAACGUUGAAGACGACGACGUUGAUAGGCCGGGUGUGUAAGCGCAGCGAUGCGUUGAGCUAACCGGUACUAAUGAACCGUGAGGCUUAACCU